CAGUCGAACGGCAGCAUGAUCUAGCUUGCUAGAUUGAUGGCGAGUGGCGAACGGGUGAGUAAUACAUCGGAACGUGCCCUGUAGUGGGGGAUAACUAGUCGAAAGAUUAGCUAAUACCGCAUACGACCUGAGGGUGAAAGUGGGGGACCGCAAGGCCUCAUGCUAUAGGAGCGGCCGAUGUCUGAUUAGCUAGUUGGUGAGGUAAAGGCUCACCAAGGCGACGAUCAGUAGCUGGUCUGAGAGGACGAUCAGCCACACUGGGACUGAGACACGGCCCAGACUCCUACGGGAGGCAGCAGUGGGGAAUUUUGGACAAUGGGCGAAAGCCUGAUCCAGCAAUGCCGCGUGUGUGAAGAAGGCCUUCGGGUUGUAAAGCACUUUUGUCCGGAAAGAAAUGGCUCUGGUUAAUACCUGGGGUCGAUGACGGUACCGGAAGAAUAAGGACCGGCUAACUACGUGCCAGCAGCCGCGGUAAUACGUAGGGUCCAAGCGUUAAUCGGAAUUACUGGGCGUAAAGCGUGCGCAGGCGGUUGUGCAAGACCGAUGUGAAAUCCCCGAGCUUAACUUGGGAAUUGCAUUGGUGACUGCACGGCUAGAGUGUGUCAGAGGGGGGUAGAAUUCCACGUGUAGCAGUGAAAUGCGUAGAGAUGUGGAGGAAUACCGAUGGCGAAGGCAGCCCCCUGGGAUAACACUGACGCUCAUGCACGAAAGCGUGGGGAGCAAACAGGAUUAGAUACCCUGGUAGUCCACGCCCUAAACGAUGUCAACUAGUUGUUGGGGAUUCAUUUCCUUAGUAACGUAGCUAACGCGUGAAGUUGACCGCCUGGGGAGUACGGUCGCAAGAUUAAAACUCAAAGGAAUUGACGGGGACCCGCACAAGCGGUGGAUGAUGUGGAUUAAUUCGAUGCAACGCGAAAAACCUUACCUACCCUUGACAUGCCACUAACGAAGCAGAGAUGCAUUAGGUGCUCGAAAGAGAAAGUGGACACAGGUGCUGCAUGGCUGUCGUCAGCUCGUGUCGUGAGAUGUUGGGUUAAGUCCCGCAACGAGCGCAACCCUUGUCUCUAGUUGCUACGAAAGGGCACUCUAGAGAGACUGCCGGUGACAAACCGGAGGAAGGUGGGGAUGACGUCAAGUCCUCAUGGCCCUUAUGGGUAGGGCUUCACACGUCAUACAAUGGUGCAUACAGAGGGUUGCCAAGCCGCGAGGUGGAGCUAAUCCCAGAAAAUGCAUCGUAGUCACGGAUCGUAGUCUGCAACU
rnacentral:rRNA from 1 species